rnacentral:sRNA from 1 species
CCAUACAUAAAAACAAACAAAAAA